rnacentral:rRNA from 1 species
CCCUUAGAUGUUCUGGGCCGCACGCGCGCUACACUGACGAAGUCAGCGAGCAUGUCCUACGCCGACAGGUGCGGGGAAUCUUGUCAAACUUCGUCGUGAUGGGGAUUGAUUAUUGAAAUUCUUGAUCAUCAACGAGGAAUUCCUAGUAAGCGCAAGUCAGCAGCUUGCGUUGAUUACGUCCCUGCCCUUUGUACACACCGCCCGUCGCUACUACCGAUUGAAUGGUUUAGUGAGAUCUUCGGAUUGGCGCCACUGCGGCUCAGCAAUGGGCUCGGUGGAUGCCGAAAAGUUUAUCAAACUUGAUCAUUUAGAGGAAGUAAAAGUCGUAACA